GGUUCGAUGGUGUAGUUGGUUUAUCACUUCUGCUUUACAUCACGUUAUCGCAGGCGGUCGUCGGUUCGAGCCCGGCUCGAAUCA